rnacentral:rRNA from 1 species
UCGAGAAUCUUCCGCAAUGCGCGCAAGCGUGACGGAGCGACGCCGCGUGGGUGAUGAAGGCUUUCGGGUUGUAAAGCCCUGUCAGUUACUAGGAAUUGUGGGUGGUGAAUAACUAUCCCGCUUGACCAUGUAGCAAAGGAAGCACCGGCUAAAUACGUGCCAGCAGCCGCGGUAAUACGUAUGGUGCGAACGUUGUUCGGAAUCACUGGGCCUAAAGAGCGCGUAGGCGGCUAGGUAAGUCAGAUGUGAAAUCCCUCGGCUCAACCGGGGAACUGCACCUGAUACUGCCUGGCUAGAGUGCAGGAGGGGAGAGUGGAAUUCCUGGUGGAGCGGUGAAAUGCGUAGAUAUCAGGAGGAACGCCGGCGGCGAAAGCGGCUCUCUGGUCUGUUACUGACGCUGAGGCGCGAAAGCUAGGGGAGCAAACGGGAUUAGAUACCCCCGUAGUCC